GUUCCUAUGGUCUAGUGGUUAUGACGCUUCGUUGUGGUUCCGAAGCAGCCCGUGUUCGAUUCACGGUGGGGACA
rnacentral:tRNA from 1 species